CGCGGCCUAUCAGCUUGUUGGUGAGGUAGUGGCUUACCAAGGCGACGACGGGUAGCCGGCCUGAGAGGGCGACCGGCCACACUGGGACUGAGACACGGCCCAGACUCCUACGGGAGGCAGCAGUGGGGAAUAUUGCACAAUGGGCGCAAGCCUGAUGCAGCGACGCCGCGUGAGGGAUGACGGCCUUCGGGUUGUAAGCCUCUUUCAGCAGGGGAGAAGCCUUCGGGUGACGGUACCUGCAGAAGAAGCACCGGCUAACUACGUGCCAGCAGCCGCGGUAAUACGUAGGGUGCGAGCGUUGUCCGGAAUUAUUGGGCGUAAAGAGCUUGUAGGCGGUUUGUCGCGUCCGCUGUGAAAAUCCGGGGCUCAACCCCGGACUUGCAGUGGGUACGGGCAGACUAGAGUGUGGUAGGGGAGACUGGAAUUCCUGGUGUAGCGGUGGAAUGCGCAGAUAUCAGGAGGAACACCGAUGGCGAAGGCAGGUCUCUGGGCCAUUACUGACGCUGAGAAGCGAAAGCAUGGGGAGCAAACAGGAUUAGAUACCCUGGUAGUCCAUGCCGUAAACGUUGGGAACUAGGUGUGGGUCUCAUUCCACGAGAUCCGUGCCGCAGCUAACGCAUUAAGUUCCCCGCCUGGG
rnacentral:rRNA from 1 species